AAGGCCUUAGUUUAACAAAAACAUUUGAUUUGCACUCAUAAAAUGCAAGAUAGAGUCUUGUAGGUCUUA
rnacentral:tRNA from 1 species